AAAACAAGGUCUUGAUGCCCUUAGAUGUUCUUGGGCCGCACGCGCGCUACACUGACGGAGCCAGCGAGUAAUUCCUUGGCCGGAAGGCCCGGGUAAUCUUGUUAAACUCCGUCGUGCUGGGGAUAGAGCAUUGCAAUUAUUGCUCUUCAACGAGGAAUCCCUAGUAAGCGCAAGUCAUCAGCUUGCGUUGAUUACGUCCCUGCCCUUUGUACACACCGCCCGUCGCUACUACCGAUUGAAUGGCUCAGUGAGGCGUCCGGACUGGCCCAGGGAGGUGGGCAACUACCACCCAGGGCCGGAAAGCUCUCCAAACUCGGUCAUUUAGAGGAAGUAAAAGUCGUAACAAGGUCUCCGUUGGUGAACUCAGCGGAGGGAUCAUUACCGAGUUAUCCAACUCCCAACCCCUGUGAAUUAUACCUUUAAUUGUUGCUUCGGCGGGACUUCGCGCCCGCCGGGGACCCAAACCUUCUGAAUUUUUUAAUAAGUAUCUUCUGAGUGGUUAAAAAAAAUGAAUCAAAACUUUCAACAACGGAUCUCUUGGUUCUGGCAUCGAUGAAGAACGCAGCGAAAUGCGAUAAGUAAUGUGAAUUGCAGAAUUCAGUGAAUCAUCGAAUCUUUGAACGCACAUUGCGCCCGUCAGUAUUCUGGCGGGCAUGCCUGUUCGAGCGUCAUUACGCCCCUCAAGUCCCCUGUGGACUUGGUGUUGGGGAUCGGCGAGGCUGGUUUUCCAGCACAGCCGUCCCUCAAAUCAAUUGGCGGUCUCGCCGUGGCCCUCCUCUGCGCAGUAGUAAAACACUCGCAACAGGAGCCCGGCGCGGUCCACUGCCGUAAAACCCCCCAACUUUUUAUAGUUGACCUCGAAUCAGGUAGGACUACCCGCUGAACUUAAGCAUAUCAAUAAGCGGAGGAAAAGAAACCAACAGGGAUUGCCCCAGUAACGGCGAGUGAAGCGGCAACAGCUCAAAUUUGAAAUCUGGCCCCCAGGGCCCGAGUUGUAAUUUGCAGAGGAUGCUUUUGGUGAGGUGCCUUCCGAGUUCCCUGGAACGGGACGCCAUAGAGGGUGAGAGCCCCGUCUGGGUUGGAUACCGAGCCUCUGUAAAGCUCCUUCGACGAGUCGAGUAGUUGGGAAUGCUGCUCUAAAUGGGAGGUAUAUGUCUUCUAAAGCUAAAUAUUGGCCAGAGACCGUAGCGCCACAAA
rnacentral:rRNA from 1 species